GCUAACGUAACUUAAUUAAAGUAUAACACUGAAGAUGUUAAGAUAAACCCUAGGAUGGUUUCGUAAGCA
rnacentral:tRNA from 1 species